CAGCCGCCACGGGAAUACAGAGGGUGCGAGCGUUAAUCGGAUUUACUGGGCGUAAAGCGUGCGUAGGCGGCUUUUUAAGUCGGAUGUGAAAUCCCUGAGCUUAACUUAGGAAUUGCAUUCGAUACUGGGAAGCUAGAGUAUGGGAGAGGAUGGUAGAAUUCCAGGUGUAGCGGUGAAAUGCGUAGAGAUCUGGAGGAAUACCGAUGGCGAAGGCAGCCAUCUGGCCUAAUACUGACGCUGAGGUACUAAAGCAUGGGGAGCAAACAGGAUUAGAUACCCCUGUAGUCCCUGUCUCUUAUAA
rnacentral:rRNA from 1 species